rfam:Ictidomys tridecemlineatus contig108624, whole genome shotgun sequence.
GGGGCUGGGGCUCAGUGGUAGAGUGCCUGCCUCCCACGUGGGAGGCCCUGGGUUCAAUCCUCAGCACCA